rnacentral:rRNA from 1 species
UACGAAGGGGCUAGCGUUGCUCGGAAUCACUGGGCGUAAAGCGCACGUAGGCGGGUCUUUAAGUCGGAGGUGAAUCCUGGAGCUCAACUCCAGAACUGCCUUCGAUACUGAGGAUCUCGAGUCCGGGAGAGGUGAGUGGAACUGCGAGUGUAGAGGUGAAAUCGUAGAUAUUCGCAAGAACACCAGUGGCGAAGGCGGCUCACUGGCCCGGUACUGACGCUGAGGUGCGAAAGCGUGGGGAGCA